CCGCAUAACGUCGCAAGACCAAAGAGGGGGACCUUCGGGCCUCUUGCCAUCGGAUGUGCCCAGAUGGGAUUAGCUAGUAGGUGGGGUAACGGCUCACCUAGGCGACGAUCCCUAGCUGGUCUGAGAGGAUGACCAGCCACACUGGAACUGAGACACGGUCCAGACUCCUACGGGAGGCAGCAGUGGGGAAUAUUGCACAAUGGGCGCAAGCCUGAUGCAGCCAUGCCGCGUGUAUGAAGAAGGCCUUCGGGUUGUAAAGUACUUUCAGCGGGGAGGAA
rnacentral:rRNA from 1 species